rnacentral:rRNA from 2 species
GACAGAGGGUGCAAACGUUGUUCGGAAUUACUGGGCGUAAAGCGUGUGUAGGCGGUCUCGCAAGUCGGAUGUGAAAGCCCCGGGCUCAACCCGGGAAGUGCACCCGAUACUGCAAGACUCGAGUACCGGAGAGGUUGGUGGAAUUCUCGGUGUAGAGGUGAAAUUCGUAGAUAUCGAGAGGAACACCGGUGGCGAAGGCGGCCAACUGGACGGAUACUGACGCUGAGACACGAAAGCGUGGGGAGCAAACAGG